UACGUAGGUGGCAAGCGUUGUCCGGAAUUAUUGGGCGUAAAGCGCGCGCAGGCGGUCCUUUAAGUCUGAUGUGAAAGCCCACGGCUCAACCGUGGAGGGUCAUUGGAAACUGGGGGACUUGAGUGCAGAAGAGGAAAGCGGAAUCCACGUGUAGGCGGUGAAAUGCGUAGAGAUGUGGAGGAACACCAGUGGCGAAGGCGGCUUUCUGGUCUGUAACUGACGCUGAGGCGCGAAAGCGUGGGGAGCAAACGG
rnacentral:rRNA from 1 species